rnacentral:rRNA from 1 species
CACCACAGUACCAAGCAAUUCUAUAUUUUUAUAGAACUUUUUAUGUUAAAACUAGUAACAAGAAGAAUCCUCUUCUCUUUAAUGCAAGCUUAAAUCAGACAGGACCAACCACUGAUAAUUAUCAUCAAUGAGUCUACAGUAGUAACACUCAAGAAAACCCUACUACAUUAAAUGUUAACCUAACACAAGAGCAUUACAAGAAAGAUUAAAAGAAAAAGAAGGAACUCGGCAAAUGUUAACCUCGCCUGUUUACCAAAAACAUCGCCUCUUGAUCAACCUAUAAGAGGUCCAGCCUGCCCAGUGACUCUGUUCAACGGCCGCGGUAUCCUAACCGUGCGAAGGUAGCGUAAUCACUUGUUCUUUAAAUGAGGACUAGUAUGAAUGGCACCACGAAGGUUAUACUGUCUCCUUUUUCUAAUCAGUGAAACUAAUCUUCCCGUGAAGAAGCGGGAAUAAAAAUAUAAGACGAGAAGACCCUAUGGAGCUUUAAACAAUCGUAACAAUUGCCUUUAAACACUAUCAAUUUCAGAAAAAUUACUAAUAUCUGGGCAAUUUGAUUACAAGUUUUAGGUUGGGGUGACCACGGAGAAUAAAAUAACCUCCGCAAUGAAAGGGGCUUUUCCCCUAAGCUAAGGACUACAAUCCUAAGAAUUAACAAAUUAACAUCUAUUGACCCAAUAUACUUGAUCAAUGAACCAAGUUACCCUAGGGAUAACAGCGCAAUCCACUUCAAGAGCUCCUAUCGACAAGUGGGUUUACGACCUCGAUGUUGGAUCAGGGUAUCCCAGUGGUGCAGCCGCUACUAACGGUUCGUUUGUUCAACGAUU